rnacentral:rRNA from 1 species
GCUCAGAACGAACGCUGGCGGCAGGCCUAACACAUGCAAGUCGAACGCCGUAGCAAUACGGAGUGGCACAGGAUUGAGUAACGCGUGGGAACAUGCCAUUUGGUUCGGAAUAACUCAGGGAACCUUGAGUUAAUGCCGGAUACGUCCAAGGCGACUUGGAGAACGAUUUAUCGCCGGAGGAUUGGUCCGCGUCUGAUUAGCUAGUUGGUGGGGUAAUGGCUUACCAAGGCAACGAUCAGUAGCUGGUCUGAGAGGAUGAUCAGGGACCUUGGGACUGAGACACGGCCAAACCUCCUACGGGAGGCAGCAGUGGGGAAUAUUGGACAAUGGGCGCAAGCCUGAUCCAGCCAUGCCGCGUGAGUGACGAAGGCCUUAGGGUUGUAACGCUCUUUUGCCUGGGAAGAUAAUGACGGUACCAGGAGAAUAAGCCACGGCUAACUUCGUGCCAGCAGCCGCGGUAAUACGAAGGGGGCUAGCGUUGUUCGGAAUCACUGGGCGUAACGCGCACGUAGGCGGAUUCUUAAGUCAGGGGUGAACUCCAGAGGCUCAACCUCGGAACUGCCUUUGAUACUGGGGAUCCAGAGUCCGGGAGAGGUGAGUGGAAUUGCGAGUGUAGAGGUGAACUUCGUAGAUAUUCGCAAGAACACAGUGGCGAAGGCGGCUCACUGGCCAGGUACUGACGCUGAGGUGCGAACGCGUGGGGAGUAACCAGGAUUAGAUACCAUGGUAGUCCACGCCGUAACCGAUGGAUGCCAGCCGUCAGAC